rnacentral:rRNA from 1 species
ACGCAUCUCUUCGGGGAUGAGUGGCGGACGGGUGAGUAACGCGUGAGAAUCUGCCUUCAGGACUGGGACAACCACUGGAAACGGUGGCUAAUACCAGAUAUGCAGUGAGUGAAAAGGUUUAUUCCGCCUGAAGAUGAGCUCGCGUCAGAUUAGUUAGUUGGUGAGGUAACGGCUUACCAAGGCAUCGAUCUGUAGCUGGUCUGAGAGGAUGACCAGCCACACUGGGACUGAGAGACGGCCCAGACUCCUACGGGAGGCAGCAGUGAGGAAUUUUCCGCAAUGGGCGCAAGCCUGACGGAGUAAUACCGCGUGCGGGAGGAAGGUCUAUUGACUGUAAACCGCUUUUAUUAAGAAAGAAUUCUGACGGUACUUAAUGAAUAAGCCUCGGCUAACUCCGUGCCAGCAGCCGCGGUAAUACGGAGGAGGCAAGCGUUAUCCGGAAUUAUUGGGCGUAAAGCGUCCGUAGGUGGUUUUGCAAGUCGGCUGUCAAAGCCCGUGGCUCAACCACGGAAAGGCAGUGGAAACUACAAGACUGGAGUGCAGUAGGGGCAGAGGGAAUUCCCAGUGUAGCGGUGAAAUGCGUAGAGAUUGGGAAGAACACCCGUGGCGAAAGCGCUCUGCUGGACUGCAACUGACACUAAGGGACGAAAGCUAGGGGAGCGAAUGGGAUUAGAUACCCCAGUAGUCCUAGCCGUA